rnacentral:rRNA from 1 species
AUUGAACGCUGGCGGCAGGACUAACACAUGCAAGUCGAACGAGUGGCGGACGGGUGAGUAAUGUAUGGGAAACUGCCCGAUGGAGGGGGAUAACUACUGGAAACGGGAGCUAAUACCGCAUACCAUCAGAUGUGCCCAGAGGGGAUUAGCUAGUAGGUGGGGGAAAGGCACACCUAGGCGACGAUCCCUAGCUGGUCUGAGAGGAUGACCAGCCACACUGUAACUGAGACACGGUCCAGCCUCCUACGGGAGGCAGCAGUGGGGAAUAUUGCACAAUGGGCGCAAGCCUGAUGCAGCCAUGCCGCGUGUAGUAAGAAGGCCUUCGGGUUGUAAAGUACUUUCAGCGGGGAGGCGUUACCCGCAGAAGAAGCACCGGCUAACUCCGUGCCAGCAGCCGCGGUAAUAC